rnacentral:rRNA from 1 species
UACGAAGGGUGCAAACGUUGCUCGGAAUUAUUGGGCGUAAAGCGCACGUAGGCGGCUUAGCAAGUCGGAAGUGAAAUCCCACGGCUCAACCAUGGAAGUGCUUUCGAAACUGCUGAGCUUGAGUACUUAAGAGGAUCGCGGAAUUCCCGGUGUAGAGGUGAAAUUCGUAGAUAUCGGGAGGAACACCAGUGGCGAAGGCGGCGAUCUGGGAAGAUACUGACGCUGAGGUGCGAAAGCGUGGGGAGCGAACAGG